ACUAUUAUGCGGUAUAGUGGUGAGUAUUCCCGCCUGUCACGCGGGUGACCCGGGUUCGGUCCCCGACAACAGUG
rfam:Nicotiana sylvestris Nsyl_contig19322, whole genome shotgun sequence.